GAUCGGGGCAGGGAAGAUGAAGCAAUUUCACAUUUGAAAAGAUCCAUAUUCAUUUCCACCCAAAAUUCCAACUUUGAGUCGAAUUUAGUCACCGUUAAAUGCAAAAUUGAUUAGGGUUUUGAGAAUGGUGAGUUUAAGUGGAUUUGCUUACUUGUUUUCAGAGCUUGUUCAGUAUAAUCAGACCCACGUUGACAACAUUGGGGAGCUAGAAAGGAGAUUGGAGGAUGCGGGCUAUGCUGUUGGAGUACGAGUUUUGGAAUUACUGUGCCACAUGUUGUCUAUCGUUUCGGCUGUUGGUGCAUAGUUGACUUUUUAUAUGAUCUAAUAGCACUUUAUUGUUGAAUAGCUAAAAUGAUAUAGUUAAUAUGUCAAGUAUGAUUGUAAAGCUAGAUUAAUUGUAAUACUAAUCUACUUUUUGUAGAUUUGAUCAUAGUUGUUAAAAGCCAUCGCCUCUUGCGCCUAGGCCCAAUUUCCUAGCAAGGCGAGGCAGUUGCGCCUUAAGUCGAGGCAAUUGCGCUUUAAUUCUCCAGGUGAUGGUUCAUGCGCAUAUUCCAGCGAGAUUCCUAGAUUCAAAUGAGUU